AUGGAGGCUGUUCCAAGAACGGGACAAGUAUUCAGCAACCUGCAUUUUUACCCAACAUAUUCAUGGAGGAAAACAAUGAGCAGUAAUAAAUUAGAAGUUUCACAGAUUGCACAGGAAAUACAUCCUGGCUCCCACGAAGAUUCAGCACUGAUCUAUGCUGCCCUCACAUUCUGUGAAACACCAUGGACAUGAGGGUUACUCGCCAUGAUCAUCUCCUUUGCAGAAAUGGACCACAAAACAUUUCCCACUGUGGGGACUAAGAAGGUAGAGUGAACAUUUGUUGUGGUUAUGGUCACUCAACAUCUAUUUCUUCAAGAACAUCUGAUUUUCUUUGGAAAAUUACCCAGUUGUGGUUAAUGUUGUUGAGUCCUAAAUCUAGUUCUCCAAUACAUGAUUCUCUCAUACGUACUCAUCAUGCCAAAGAGUGAGCAUGUGAUCUAAACUCAGUUGACUGGAUUCUCUCUUUUAAGAAGUUGCUUCUUGGCUGGCCACAGUGGCUCACGCCUGUAGUCCCAGCACUUUGGGAGGCUGAGGCAGGCGGAUCACGAGGUCAGGAGUUAGAGACCAGACUGGCCAAUAUGGUGAAACCCCGUCUCUACUAAAAUAUACAAAAAUUAGCCAGACGUGGUGGUGCACGCCUGUAGUCCCAGCUACUUGGGAGGCUGAGGCAGGAGAAUCAUUUGAAUCCAGGAGGUGGAGGUUGCAGUGAGCCAAGAUCACAACACUGCACUCCAGCCUGGGUGACAGAGUCAGACUCUGUCUCAAAAAAAAAAAAAAAAAAAAAAAAAAAAAGUUGCUUCUUAACUGUUUUUUCCAGUUGGGGAGACAGUUGGGGAGUGCCUGCAAUCAGAAGUUCUGCAGCUGUCUGGGACCUGUGUAUUCCAAGCUACAUACUUCAAACUUCCUUUCAGAUGUGUAAGUGCCUUCAUUCUUGCCAUUAAAUUCCCAUUUUGCUUAUGUUUGCCAGAGGGUGUUUCUGUUGCUUACAAUUAAAGACCCCUGAUUAAAGAAAGCAUUCAAAACGUAGGAGAGUUGGAAAUGAUGUCUGGAAUGAUUGUCCCAUGACAACAGAUAUUUCACCUAAUGCAUUGUACAGGGGUGAAGACUGCAUGGUUA
rnacentral:lncRNA from 1 species